UACAACCGCAAAUUCUCUGCCACACCUGCCUUACCUAGUAAUCCACACCCGUAUUGGUAACCAUGAUUAACUCAUUUUAGGUAUAAAAUUGUGACCCGAAAUUUUAUCACCAGUCACUAUCAUAUCAAACUGUAACCUUAUGGAAGGUAAGGACUGUACAUUAUAGGAACAGAUUUAAAUAUUUCAGGUGUAAUAUGGUUUGGCUGUGUCCCAACCCAAAUCUUAUCUUGAAUUCCCAUGUGUGUGGGAGGGACCUGGUAGGAGGUAAUUUUAUCAUGGGGCAGGUCUUUCCCAUGCUGUUCUUGUGAUAGUGAACAAGUCUCAUGAGGUCUGAUGGUUUUAUAAAGAAGAGUUUCCCUACUCAAGCUUCUCUUCUCUUUUUUGCUGCCAUGUGAGAUGUGCCUUUCACCUUCUGCUGUGACUGUGAGGCCUCCCAAGCCACGUGGAACACUAAGGACAUUAAACUUUUUCUUCUCAGUCUCGGUAACUUCCUUCAAAUCUGUGUUCUGCUACCGUAAAACAAGUGAUGCAAUUCCAUGUCAUCGUUACCCUAUUUUGUUGAUAACUUCAUCUCCAAUGAUGAGACUUCCACAAGAAUCUGAAAAAAACAGCAUGGCAGGAUAAACAGAGGGAGACUCACCAACUCAAAGGUGCCUAGUAUCAACAAAUUCUACAUUCCAGUGCUUAUAAGGGAAUUCCAAGUUCCACUCGGAAGUUCAUAUGUACUGAGGUCAGUCUCUAAUAAGUUAUCUAUGUUAUGUGGGUACCUGACCACUAUUAUUUGACUUUUCAAUGUCUGAUAGCUCUUUGACAUUCCACUACCCAUUCAGAGAAAGAUUUGCAGCCAGUUUAGCAAGUUCUUUUUGCAAGACAAAUGGAUAGUUCAUUAACAUUGAAAUCCAGCUGAAGCUAAAAUAUGGGUGAUUCUUGAACCUAUGUGCAGGAAGCUUUUGAUGAAUUCACAAUUAAUUCUCCCCCCUGAAAUACAGAGUAGGCAGAAGCUGCUUUUUAAUCAUCACUCUUUCUCUAUUUUAUAUGAAUACCAAUGGAUUGUGCAAUACUGCUUUAAAAAACAUUUAGAAGGAAAACUCAUCACUGGUUGCACUUUAUUUUUUUUAUAAAUGUCAUU
rnacentral:lncRNA from 1 species